rnacentral:lncRNA from 1 species
AUAAAACACUAGGCUUGGUGGGUACAUAUCAUUUCAAAUACAAAGUCUUAUCCGACUAUUUUCAUACGUACACCUAGGAUCCGUCUACAACAACUGAUUCGAGAACAUAACCAUAAGUUUCGACGCCCGAGAUGUUGCAGCACCUACCAAUGAGAGGCCUUAUAGAUUAGUAUUACACAUAAAAAAAAAAUCAAUUAUACCUCAAAUCUUACACGCAUUCGCAGUUGGUAGCAGUUUUUAGGUCAACCCUUCGAAACAAGCAUAUUUGUGUGCUCUGAUGGAUUGAGGUGACAAGUUCUGGUUGGGACGUCGACAAGCUAUCAUAUGCAUCGCAAUGUUAUGACGUUUUCGUUUUCAUAACAGCUGAUGAAACGACGAUCACUGGCUAGUUGGAUCGGACUCACUGCGGUCCGGUGGUACCUCGAGAAUCAAAUGAUUAAUCAACAUGAGAAUCAAAUGAUUAAUCAUCAAUGUCACUGCUACUUACGCAACAUGAGAAUCAAAUGAUUAAUCAUCCGUCGCUGAAAGGGCGA